rnacentral:rRNA from 1 species
UACGUAGGGUGCAAGCGUUGUCCGGAAUUACUGGGCGUAAAGAGCUCGUAGGCGGUUUGUCGCGUCUGCCGUGAAAACCCGAGGCUUAACCUCGUGGCUUGCGGUGGAUACGGGCAGACUAGAGGUAGGUAGGGGAGAAUGGAAUUCCCGGUGUAGCGGUGAAAUGCGCAGAUAUCGGGAGGAACACCGGUGGCGAAGGCGGUUCUCUGGGCCUUACCUGACGCUGAGGAGCGAAAGCGUGGGGAGCGAACAGG